GAGAAAAGAGGUUCAAAUUUAAGCUGCUAACUUAUAAUUUUAGCGGUUAAACCCCGUUAUUUUCUUU
rnacentral:tRNA from 1 species